GACGAACGCUGGCGGCAGGCCUAACACAUGCAAGUCGCACGAGUGGCGGACGGGUGAGUAAUGGCUGGGAAACUGCCUGAUGGAGGGGGAUAACUACUGGAAACGGUAGCUAAUACCGCAUACCAUCAGAUGUGCCCCGAUGGGAUUAGCUAGUUGGUGGGGUAACGGCUCACCAAGGCGACGAUCCCUAGCUGGUCUGAGAGGAUGCAAAGCCACACGGGGACUGAGCCACGGUCAAGACUCCGACGGGAGGCAGCAGUGGGGAAGAUUGCACAAUGGGCGCAAGCCGGAUGCAGCCAUGCCGCGUGUAUGAAGAAGGCCUUCGGGUUGUAAAGUACUUUCAGCGGUGAGGCGUUACCCGCAGAAGAAGCACCGGCUAACUCCGUGCCAGCAGCCGCGGUAAUUC
rnacentral:rRNA from 1 species